ACGGAGGGUCUAAGCGUUAUCCGGAUUUAUUGGGUUUAAAGGGUGCGUAGGCGGUUUGGUAAGUCAGAGGUGAAAUCCCUGGGCUCAACCCUGGAACUGCCUCUGAUACUGCCGGGCUUGAGAAUGGUUGCUGUGGGCGGAAUGUAUGGUGUAGCGGUGAAAUGCUUAGAGAUCUCACAGAACACCGAUUGCGAGGGCAGCUCACAAGACUAUAUCUGACGCUGAUGCACGAAAGCGUGGGGAGCAAACAG
rnacentral:rRNA from 1 species